AAGGGGGAGAGAGGGAGGGACGGAGGGCGAGAAAGAAAGAAAGAGAAAAAGAAGGGAAGGGAGAGGAGCCGGCCGCAGCGCAGGGCGAGCGCGGCGCGGGAGGCGGGAGACAGGAAGAAGGGAGGCGAGCGGAGGGAAGGGGAAGAGGUCGGAGCGCGGGAGGAGCGCGAGCCAGCCAGCGGGCCGAGGGCAGCGCCCUCCCUGCCUCCGGGCCUCCGCUUCCCCGCCGCCAGCUCCCGCGUCCGGGCGCGACCCGCCGCUGCCGCCGCCGCCCGCGCCCGCCAGCAUGCCCGGCGUGGCCCGCCUGCCGCUGCCGCUGCUGCUGUGGCUGCUGCUGCUCCCGCGCCCCGGCCGGCCGCUGGACUUGGCCGACUACACCUACGACCUGGGCGACGAGGACGACCCGGAGCCUCUCAACUACAAAGACCCCUGCAAGGCGGCUGCCUUUCUUGGGGACAUUGCCCUGGACGAGGAGGACCUGAGGGCCUUCCAGGUGCAGCAGGCUGCAGAUCUCAGGCAGCGCUCGCUCCGCAGGCCUUCUGUCAAAGCUACAGUUCUAGGAAACUCUUCUUCCCCCAGCUGCCAGCGUACUAGCGGGCAGCCUCCACAGGAGACCUGUGGGAGAUGGAGAGGCAGGUCCCGGAACCGGCGGGCAGCGACGUCUAGACCAGAGCGCGUGUGGCCCGAUGGGGUCAUCCCCUUUGUCAUCGGGGGAAACUUCACUGGCAGCCAGAGGGCAGUCUUCCGGCAGGCCAUGAGGCACUGGGAGAAGCACACCUGUGUCACCUUCCUGGAGCGCACAGAUGAGGACAGCUAUAUUGUCUUCACCUUUCGACCCUGCGGGUGCUGCUCCUACGUGGGUCGCCGUGGUGGGGGCCCCCAGGCCAUCUCCAUUGGCAAGAACUGUGACAAGUUCGGCAUCGUGGUCCACGAACUGGGCCAUGUCAUCGGCUUCUGGCAUGAGCACACGCGGCCCGACCGGGACCGCCAUGUCUCCAUUGUGCGUGAGAACAUCCAGCCAGGACAGGAGUAUAACUUCUUGAAGAUGGAGGUCCAGGAGGUGGAAUCCCUCGGGGAGACCUAUGACUUUGACAGCAUCAUGCACUAUGCCCGAAACACGUUCUCCAGGGGCAUCUUCCUGGACACCAUUGUCCCCAAGUAUGAGGUGAAUGGGGUGAAACCUCCCAUUGGCCAGAGGACCCGGCUCAGCAAAGGGGACAUUGCCCAGGCCCGCAAGCUCUACAAGUGCCCAGCCUGCGGAGAGACCCUGCAAGACAGCACAGGAAACUUCUCCUCCCCUGAGUACCCCAACGGCUACUCCGCCCACAUGCACUGCAUCUGGCGCAUCUCCGUCACACCUGGGGAGAAGAUCAUUCUGAACUUCACAUCCAUGGACCUGUACCGAAGUCGCCUGUGCUGGUAUGACUACGUGGAGGUCAGAGAUGGCUUCUGGAGGAAGGCGCCUCUCCGAGGCCGGUUCUGCGGGGGCAAACUCCCUGAGCCUAUCGUCUCUACUGACAGCCGCCUCUGGGUUGAAUUCCGCAGCAGCAGCAACUGGGUUGGAAAGGGCUUCUUUGCAGUCUACGAAGCCAUCUGCGGGGGUGAUGUGAAAAAAGACAAUGGCCACAUUCAGUCACCCAACUACCCAGAUGAUUACCGGCCCAGCAAAGUCUGCAUCUGGCGGAUCCAGGUGUCUGAGGGCUUCCACGUGGGCCUCACGUUCCAGUCCUUUGAGAUCGAGCGCCAUGACAGCUGUGCCUAUGACUACCUGGAGGUGCGAGAUGGGCACAGCGAGAGUAGCACCCUCAUCGGCCGCUACUGCGGCUAUGAGAAGCCUGACGACAUCAAGAGCACAUCCAGCCGCCUCUGGCUCAAGUUCGUCUCUGACGGAUCCAUUAACAAAGCUGGGUUUGCCGUCAACUUUUUCAAAGAGGUGGACGAGUGCUCUCGGCCUAACCGUGGGGGCUGUGAGCAGCGGUGCCUCAACACCCUGGGAAGCUACAAGUGCAGCUGUGACCCUGGGUACGAGCUGGCCCCAGACAAGCGCCGCUGCGAGGCUGCCUGUGGCGGAUUCCUCACCAAGCUCAACGGCUCCAUCACCAGCCCCGGCUGGCCCAAGGAGUACCCCCCCAACAAAAACUGCAUCUGGCAGCUGGUGGCCCCCACCCAGUACCGCAUCUCCCUGCAGUUUGACUUCUUUGAGACUGAGGGCAACGAUGUGUGCAAGUACGACUUCGUGGAGGUGCGUAGUGGACUCACUGCUGACUCCAAGCUGCAUGGCAAGUUCUGUGGCUCUGAGAAGCCCGAAGUUAUCACCUCCCAGUACAACAACAUGCGCGUGGAGUUCAAAUCUGACAACACCGUGUCCAAAAAGGGCUUCAAGGCCCACUUCUUCUCAGACAAGGAUGAGUGCUCCAAGGAUAACGGCGGCUGCCAGCAGGACUGCGUCAACACUUUCGGCAGCUACGAGUGCCAGUGCCGCAGUGGCUUCGUGCUCCACGACAACAAGCAUGAUUGCAAAGAAGGUGAGGAGUGUCCAGGCUGGAAGGGCCAGUGCUGGAAGGCCACGGAGCUCAGGGGCCUAUGGGUCCCCUCGAUUCACCUCCGGGUGGUGCACAGAUUUCCCUGCCUCUCCCAAAAUAUCGGAGUCAAGAGCAUUAGGAAUACAGGCACUCAUGUUUCCCGUCUCUUCUUCAGGUGAUUAGUGCUUCUUUUUUUUUGAGACAGAGUCUCACUAUGUCGCCCCAGUAGGGUGCUGUGGCCUCACAGCUCACAGCAACCUCAAACUCUUGGGCUCAAGUGAUUCUCUUGCCUCAGCCUCCCGAGUAGCUGGGACCACAGGCGCCUGCCACACGCCUGGCCAUUUUUUGGUUGCAGUUGUCAUUGUUGUUUAGCAGGCACGGGCCAGGCUCAAACCUGCCACCUUCAGUGUAUGUGGCUGGCACCCUACUCACCAAGCCAGGUUAGUGCUUUUUAAAACCCAUGUCCAAGGCUUUCUCUUUGCAAGGACCUCCUCCUAGCACAGAGGCAAGAGAGUUUCAGAGCACAGGCUCUGAAGCCAGCUGGCCUGGCCCAGCCCUGCCACUUAGCCAGCUGUGCACCCUUGAGAAACGGCUUGUCCUGCCUGUGCCUCGCUUUGCUCCUGCAUAAAAUGUAGAUAAUACUAAUACCUAUCUCUCGGGGGCAUUGAGGCACUGUGAAGUGGUCCAAGCAAUGCCUGGCUUAUAGACAUGACUUGCACAUCAGACUUCUGAUCCCUGAGAUCCCUAGAGCAAGGUCACUACCUUCCUGAUCCUGAAGCCCUGCACAUACUUAAAAAUAGCUCUUAUGCCACCACUGUUAUCACCAACACCUCUUUGGACAUGAUACAGUACAGACCUGCUCCAGGUCAGUAAUUUCAUCGUGGCCCCUGCCUGCUAGACACAUACAAUCCCAGCUGCACAACACAGACUUGCCACUACUACCAAAUGUCUGUGUGACUUUGGGUAAGUCACUUGACCUCUCUGAACUUUGCAAUUUCCUCAUCCAGGGAAUGACUUAAAAAAAAAACCUUUUUAGGGCUCUGAACUCUGAGCACUUGGCACAGUGGUUGGCAAGUGACUCUUUUCACCACAAUUAGGUGGACAAGCCAGAUAUGAACAGGUGAGCUGCUGACCGGAAUAAACAAGAGAUGAAGCACUCAACAGUGAGCCAGUGGACAGUGAGGGCCUCCAAUCCAACAGGUGUCCUGAAUCGAGAGGGGACCUUACUUAGGUGUUGUCUAAACUGCAUUCUGUUAAGAGCAGCAUCCACAAGAUAGCCAGGAGGACAGAGGUUAAACUUCCUGGGAAGAUAGCCUGUCCAUCUGUCCAUCUUCUGAUCAUUUUAGAAGCACUCUGAGUCCCUUCCUCAGGUGAUAGGCUAACUACAGAUCUGUCAGCAUAGAGACCCAGUGCUCUGCAGGGUGGUGACGGACUCAAGAGAGGAGUCUCUCCUCUCCCUGGGGAAUCACAGUCCAUCUGGGGAGAGAUGUGGAUGACAGAGAGCAUGGAAGACCAAUGUGGAAAGUGGGAGGACAGUUGGCCACAUGGAACCGCAGAUGGUUAAUGAAGACAACUCGUGUGGGGAGACGGGAAUGUGACCUGCCUCCACCAGAGGGCUUUGCUGUCUGGGCCCAUGGCUGUGUAUUCAUUCUGUGAACCUCUGACCCUGGCGUACCGGUGCACACCUGCCCCCUACCCCCAUUCCUUUUUCCUCCCCAACUGCAGUGCUUGGCUCUGCCCACUUCCACUCAGAAGAACCCAAAUGAUUGCAUGAUCAUGAAUAACGAUCAUUGACACUUAAAAUCUGGCUGUGACCACAAGGUGACAGCCACCAGUGGCACCCUCACCAGCCCCAACUGGCCUGACAAAUAUCCCAGCAAGAAGGAGUGUACCUGGGCCAUCUCCAGCACCCCUGGGCACCGGGUCAAGCUG